AGGCGUUAAGACAAGAAAUAUUCUCAUGGGGGGCUGGUGUGCAAUGGCUGCAAACAGCAGCCUCCUUGGUAGUGUAUACAGCCUGUUGCUUAUAUAGGUUGCUCUAAGGCAGUGGUUCUCAACC
rnacentral:snoRNA from 1 species